rnacentral:rRNA from 1 species
AGAUUGAACGCUGGCGGCAUGCCUUACACAUGCAAGUCGAACGGCAGCACGGGAGCAAUCCUGGUGGCGAGUGGCGAACGGGUGAGUAAUACAUCGGAACGUGCCCAAUCGUGGGGGAUAACGCAGCGAAAGCUGUGCUAAUACCGCAUAAGAUCUACGGAUGAAAGCAGGGGAUCGCAAGACCUUGCGCGAAUGGAGCGGCGAGUGGCAGAUUAGGUAGUUGGUAGAGGUAAAGCUACACCAAGCCUUAGAUCUGUAGCUGGUCUGAGAGGACCACCAGCCCACGACGUGGGACUGACGAC